CGAGUUCGCCGGGUGACCGCGGGCGUCGGAAUUAUCACCUACGCCUGAGGAAAGUCCGGACUCCACAGGGCAGGGUGCUGGGUAACGCCCAGGCGGGGUGACCCGAUGGAAAGUGCCGCAGAGAACAGACCGCCGAUGGCUCUCAUGUGGAGAGCACAGGCAAGGGUGAAACGGUGGUGUAAGAGACCACCAGCGCUCCGGGCGACCGGCGCGGCUCGGCAAACCCCACCCGGAGCAAGGCUAAGCAGGGGCGAAACGGCCCGUUGAAUCGUCCCGGGUGAGCCGCAGGAGGUCGCCGGAGACGGCGAUCGCAGAUGGAUGGUCACCGGGGGCCGGGGAAUGGCCCCCACAGAAUCCGGCUUACAGGCGGACUCGCUCU
rnacentral:RNase_P_RNA from 1 species